UACGAAGGGUGCAAACGUUGCUCGGAAUUAUUGGGCGUAAAGCGCACGUAGGCGGCAUCGCAAGUCGGAUGUGAAAUCUUAUGGCUUAACCAUAAAAGUGCAUCCGAAACUGCAGUGCUUGAGUACUUAAGAGGAUCGCGGAAUUCCCGGUGUAGAGGUGAAAUUCGUAGAUAUCGGGAGGAACACCAGUGGCGAAGGCGGCGAUCCGGGAAGAUACUGACGCUGAGGUGCGAAAGCGUGGGGAGCAAACAGG
rnacentral:rRNA from 1 species